rnacentral:rRNA from 1 species
CAAUAGCGUAUAUUAAAGUUGUUGCAGUUAAAAAGCUCGUAGUUGGAUUUGUGGCGUACGGUGUGUUCCGGGCACUUGUUGUCUGAGUAACCUGCUGUUGCCAUCCUUGGGUGGAACCUGUGUGGCAUUAGGUUGUCGUGCAGGGGAUGCCCAUCAUUUACUGUGAAAAAAUUAGAGUGUUCAAAGCAGGCUUAUGCCGUUGAAUAUAUUAGCAUGGAAUAAUGAGAUAGGACUUUUUUGCUAUUUUGUUGGUUUGCGCAAGAAGGUAAUGAUUAAUAGGGACAGUUGGGGGUAUUCGUAUUCCAUUGUCAGAGGUGAAAUUCUUGGAUUUUUGGAAGACGAGCUACUGCGAAAGCAUUUACCAAGGAUGUUUACAUUAA